rnacentral:rRNA from 1 species
UACAGAGGUCUCAAGCGUUGUUCGGAUUCAUUGGGGCGUAAAGGGUGCGGUAGGCGGCGCGGUAAGGUCGGGUGUGAAAUCUCGGAGCUUAACUCCGAAACUGCAUUCGAUACUGCCGUGCUUGAGGACUGGAGAGGAGACUGGAAUUUACGGUGUAGCGGUGAAAUGCGUAGAUAUCGUAGGAAGACCGUGGCGAAGGCGGGUCU